rnacentral:tRNA from 1 species
UGGGGUAUCGCCAAGCGGUAAGGCACCGGAUUCUGAUUCCGGCAUUCCGAGGUUCGAAUCCUCGU